ACUCCUACGGGAGGCAGCAGUGGGGAAUAUUGGACAAUGGGCGCAAGCCUGAUCCAGCCAUGCCGCGUGAGUGAUGAAGGCCCUCGGGUUGUAAAGCUCUUUCACCGGUGAAGAUAAUGACGGUAACCGGAGAAGAAGCCCCGGCUAACUUCGUGCCAGCAGCCGCGGUAAUACGAAGGGGGCUAGCGUUGUUCGGAUUUACUGGGCGUAAAGCGCACGUAGGCGGACUAUUAAGUCAGGGGUGAAAUCCCGGGGCUCAACCCCGGAACUGCCUUUGAUACUGGUAGUCUUGAGUUCGAGAGAGGUGAGUGGAAUUCCGAGUGUAGAGGUGAAAUUCGUAGAUAUUCGGAGGAACACCAGUGGCGAAGGCGGCUCACUGGCUCGAUACUGACGCUGAGGUGCGAAAGCGUGGGGUGCAAACAGGAUUAGAAACCCGUGUAGUCCCAUGA
rnacentral:rRNA from 1 species